rnacentral:rRNA from 1 species
AUAUACUAACUAUUUUUUAUCUACAUUCAUUAAUUAACUUUAUUUUAUAUGCUUAACGGCGAUAAGGUAUUGUUUAAGAUAUGGAUUAAGGUAUGAUUUGGAAAUUAAUAUUAUGUGGUGUCACAAAAUCGGAGGCCCCGACUGUUUACUUAAAACACAGCUUUCUGCUACGAAUAAUAUCUGUGUAUAGAAAGCGAAUUUUGCCCAAUGCCAUUAAUAUAAAGUUGAUAAGCGCAUAGCGUAUUUAUUAGCUGAAGUUCUGGUCAAUGGCGGUCUUAUCUAUGAGGAUCCUAAGGUAGCAAAAUUAAUUGUCCAUUAAAUGUGGUCCCUGACUGAAUAAAGUAACGAUGGUCUCACUGUCUCUACAAGUAUCUCAGUGAAAUUGAAUUANCCGUGCAGAUGCGGUUUAACUUCGGNUAANCGGAGACCUAUGCUCUUUACUGU